UACGUAGGGGGCAAGCGUUGUCCGGAAUCAUUGGGCGUAAAGAGCGCGUAGGCGGUCCGGUAAGUCCGCUCUGAAAGUCCGGGGCUCAACCCCGGGAAGCGGGCGGAUACUGUCGGGCUAGAGUCCGGAAGAGGCGAGUGGAAUUCCUGGUGUAGCGGUGAAAUGCGCAGAUAUCAGGAGGAACACCGAUGGCGAAGGCAGCUCGCUGGGACGGUACUGACGCUGAGGCGCGAAAGCGUGGGGAGCAAACAGG
rnacentral:rRNA from 1 species